rnacentral:rRNA from 1 species
UACGAACUGUGCAAACGUUAUUCGGAAUCACUGGGCUUAAAGGGUGCGUAGGCGGCUUGUUAAGUAGGGUGUGAAAUCCCCCGGCUCAACCGGGGAAUUGCGCCCUAAACUGGCGAGCUGGAGUGAGAUAGGGGUGUGUGGAACUUCCAGUGGAGCGGUGAAAUGUGUUGAUAUUGGAAGGAACGCCAGUGGCGAAAGCGACACACUGGGUCUCAACUGACGCUGAGGCACGAAAGCCAGGGAGCAAACGGG